rnacentral:rRNA from 1 species
CUACGGGGCGCUGCAGUGAGGAAUAUUGCACAAUGGGGGAAACCCUGAUGCAGCAACGCCGCGUGGAGGAUGACGCAUUUCGGUGUGUAAACUCCUUUUAUCAGAGAAGAAAAUGACGGUAUCUGAUGAAUAAGCUCCGGCUAACUCCGUGCCAGCAGCCGCGGUAAUACGGAGGGAGCAAGCGUUAUUCGGAAUCACUGGGCGUAAAGGACGCGUAGGCGGGUUUUUAAGUCAGGUGUGAAAUCCUAUGGCUCAACCAUAGAACUGCACUUGAAACUGGGGACCUAGAGUAUGGAAGGGGCAGGUGGAAUUAGUGGUGUAGGGGUAACAUCCGUAGAUAUCACUAGGAAUACCGAAAGCGAAGGCGACCUGCUGGGACAUUACUGACGCUGAGGCGUGAAAGCGUGGGGAGCAAACAGGAUUAGAUACCCGGGUAGUC